rnacentral:lncRNA from 1 species
CUUGUUGAAUCUGUUUCCUCUUUCGACUGCUCCGGAAGUUGAAUUAGCUUUGGUGUGGUUAAGCUCUUCCUUAUCUUAGGACGAAUCCGCAGAGAAGGGCCUUCGAACUCUCCUGUUUAGGAAGAAAGCUGCCAUUGAACUAGGCUCCCAUUUAGCAUUGAAACUAAAGAGUGAGUGAGAUUCCGAUUAAGCGAGGGAAGGAACCCCGGGGUAAAUAAAGUUUCGUAUAAGAGAACCAUUAGCGAUUCUCUUAUCUGCUGCUGUCUCUGACUGACGAAGAAGGAGUCCCACUACACGAAAAGAAAGAAGGUAGGAGCGGUGAAAUGGUUGAUGGUUGAAUGAAUGUGACCAAGCGCUUUUGUUGACAGAGAGAUUCUCUUUUAUAGGAAGCAGAAUAAGCACAGUUAGCAAGAUCCCCUGCUAUUUCAGCUGCCGUUGAAGGAUGUGAUUGCUCGAGUUGAAGAAGUGGAUGCUGGUAUCGUAGAUAAAAAAAGGCUAGCUAAAAGGACAGAUUUCUCUCUAUUGAUUAAGUCAUUUCCCGAGUCAGAUGCCAUGAUCACACGUUCUAAGGAUGGAACUCGUAAACCGUCUAUUCUCUAUUCGAAUUAUUGAUUCCUUAUCCCCGGGCCACACUUCAGAAAGGCCAAAGGGGGUCCUUCACUUACUUGUGUGAGCCCGGUUAAAAGAAGAGUCAAGGCUUGGAGAUAGAAUUCACUAGCAGGGCUUUGUAAUUGAUCUACUAGUAGAAAAAGAUCAUCUCGCGUUACAAUAUCCCCUUGGCGGACUCUUUGAGCAAGGGUUUGCGCGAGGUCUGACCGAUUCCCUUUCGUCUCUGCGCGGUGAGAGGGGAAGGAUAAGAAUUGGUUCACCCGAUUGGACCAUCCCGGAAUCUUUUUUCUUCUUCGAAACCCCCUGCUCAGAGGGGGCUUAGUUAGUUCGCCUCUUUCCUUCAGUGCCUUAUACUCAUGACUAUAAGGAACCAACGAUUCUCUCUUCUUAAACA